rnacentral:rRNA from 1 species
GUGGGGAAUAUUACACAAUGGAGGAAACUCUGAUGUAGCAACGCCGCGUGGAGGAUGACACAUUUCGGUGCGUAAACUCCUUUUAUAUGGGAAGAUAAUGACGGUACCAUAUGAAUAAGCACCGGCUAACUCCGUGCCAGCAGCCGCGGUAAUACGGAGGGUGCAAGCGUUACUCGGAAUCACUGGGCGUAAAGCGCGCGCAGGCGGCUUUGUAAGUUGGAUGUGAAAUCCUAUGGCUUAACCAUAGAACUGCAUCCAAAACUACUUAGCUAGAGUCUGGGAGGGGAAGAUGGAAUUAGUGGUGUAGGGGUAAAAUCCGUAGAGAUCACUAGGAAUACCAAAAGCGAAGGCGAUCUUCUGGAACAGUACUGACGCUGAGGCGCGAAAGCGUGGGGAGCAAACAGGAUUAGAAACCCUAGUAGUCC